ACGUGUGGAAGCCCUGGCCCCCAAGAACCCUAUUUUUCCCACCAUGCAUUUGGAUUGCACUGCCAGAACCAGCUCGUAACCUUUCACUAGGGUGUAAUUACCUGAGCCCAGUGAGCACUGUCAAGUGGCCCCUCUCCAUGGAAGCAGCAUGAAGAUUCUUUCAAACUCUGGCACCUUGCCUCCUUCUAAUGGCCUCACUCCUUCCCCAGUGGAAGCAAGAAGCAUUCUGUAAGUGUUCAUCCUCAGACAGCACAGAGAAGAAUCAGAAACAAAGCCCGAGGAUGCCUCGCCUCUGCUAAAAAGCCUCAGGUGUCUCAGCCUCUCCCUGUAAGAGAGAUGCUCCAGUCCCCUAAUCAUCUUUGUGGCUUCCCUGUCUCUUUUGAACUGGGAAGCUCAGAAGUGGACAACAGUAAUCCAGAUAGGACUUCAAUAUGCACAUGAGAGCAGCUUUGAGGGAUUUGCCAGAGACCCGUGACACCACUCACUGCAUGCUUAUGGCAAGACAACGGGAACAAGGUGAUUGCAAAGCCUUGUGAUCCAGAGUAAAGGUAAAAUGAUCCAGCAACAAGAGGGCCUGUAAAUGGAGGGAGAACCCACAACAGCAGUAGAAUGAUACCAGAGCUGCUACUUGCCUCUGAACCAUAACAACAUGAUAUUCUCUUAUGUAAGAAAACAAUUUGCACAGCUAAUGAUUCUGCCUAUCAUGCCUUUAAUAAAAGUGCAAUAACAAAACCUGUGGGUGUACUAUAAAUGGAAGGCAUACUACCCCCUCAUAGUCUUCAGCAAAAUCCACACAAAAAGCAAAGUUCUGCUCAGUUUUGCAGGAGUUGAGGAGAAGCAAUAAUGUUUUAUACUGUGAACACAAUGGAAUUCUUAAACCCAACAUAAACAUGUUCUUUUUACUCCAGAAGUCUUGUUUCACACUUUCAGCUCAACUUCUCUGCUAAUUUGACCUGCUGGCAUCACAUGUGAAACAGCAGCAUUUUCCCUGUGAA